GAUGACGGGAGCUUGCUCCUUGAUUCAGCGGCGGACGGGUGAGUAAUGCCUAGGAAUCUGCCUGGUAGUGGGGGACAACGUUUCGAAAGGAACGCUAAUACCGCAUACGUCCUACGGGAGAAAGCAGGGGACCUUCGGGCCUUGCGCUAUCAGAUGAGCCUAGGUCGGAUUAGCUAGUUGGUGGGGUAAUGGCUCACCAAGGCGACGAUCCGUAACUGGUCUGAGAGGAUGAUCAGUCACACUGGAACUGAGACACGGUCCAGACUCCUACGGGAGGCAGCAGUGGGGAAUAUUGGACAAUGGGCGAAAGCCUGAUCCAGCCAUGCCGCGUGUGUGAAGAAGGUCUUCGGAUUGUAAAGCACUUUAAGUUGGGAGGAAGGGCAGUAAGCUAAUACCUUGCUGUUUUGACGUUACCGACAGAAUAAGCACCGGCUAACUCUGUGCCAGCAGCCGCGGUAAUACAGAGGGUGCAAGCGUUAAUCGGAAUUACUGGGCGUAAAGCGCGCGUAGGUGGUUUGUUAAG
rnacentral:rRNA from 1 species